UACGGGGGGGGGCAAGCGUUGUUCGGAAUUACUGGGCGUAAAGGGCGCGUAGGCGGUUGGAUAAGUCAGCUGUGAAAACCACGGGCUUAACUCGUGGCCUGCAGUUGAGACUGUCUGGCUUGAGUGUGGGAGAGGAGAGUGGAAUUCCACGUGUAGCAGUGAAAUGCGUAGAGAUGUGGAGGAACACCGAUGGCGAAGGCAGCCUCCUGGGCCAACACUGACGCUCAUGCACGAAAGCGUGGGGAGCAAACAGG
rnacentral:rRNA from 1 species